GAUGUAGCCAAGUGGAUCAAGGUAGUGGAUUGUGAAUCCACCAUGUGUGGGUUCAAUCCCCGUCCCAUCA
rnacentral:tRNA from 1 species